AGAUUUUCUCCUGACGCUGGCUUUGGCACACCUACAGUCGGUGCAAAAAUUCCAUUUGUAAUUUUUUAAUUCCAACGGCGAUGGGUGUCUUGGGGUCUCGGAAUUCAGCACAAGUGGCCAGCUGGGACGUGUUAUUCCGCUCUCGAGUCGUGUCAGGGGCAGAUGGAGGACAAGCAGCAGCUUCAUUUAUCAAAGAAAUACUUUCUGAGCAUCAUUCUGCCUUCGCUGCUAGACUGGCCCUGGAUGGAUGAAGAUAAAUGAAAUCUCCCCAGCUUUACUGAGAAUCAGAAAAACAAGAGGUUGGAUUCCACUGGGAUCCUCACUUUUGGGGCUUAUUCUUCUCGGGUUGAUGCUGAUGGUUCAAAAAAAGCAAGGAAAGAAAGAAGCCGUGUACUUGGCCAGUGGGUCAAGUGAAGUUCUUCUUGAGACCUCUAUAUAGCUCAGUGUACAACCCCUUGGCAGCCUCCGUCUACUCAAGAGGAAACAGAUGGCGGGACACCUGUUUCCUGUAGCUGCCCCAGAGUCUGUUCGAGUGAGCGGCCAGUCUUUACAUAGAUCCGUGUUGAAACCUGGCUUGUUUUGUAAGGACGGGAUCCAGGAGGGACUCACCGCUACGCAUGGAUUCCUUCGAUGUCCUGGUUCUGGAGGUGAUGUAAAGGUGAUGGAUGGUACUUUCUUCUCUCAGUUGGAAGGACUUAGAAGGCUGAAUAAAAAGUGAGACUCUGCGGCCAGUAUGGCGGAGCUGGCAUGGCAGGAAGACUGCAGCGGCGAACCGUUUGCUCCGAAAGGUGACAGCUACAGGGUCAUUUUAGCCCAGAUGUCCCAACCCUGCUUUUUAUUUCACAGCAAACAGAGAAUUGAAUGAAUCUCAAGCCGUAGAUAUUUCUCCGGUCUAUUUUUAAACACACACUGGCUCUUUCCCAGAAAGAGGAGAAACAAAAAAUUCACUGGCAGACAAGCUUUACCUUUUCCAUUGAAUUUCCUGAGGAGAGAGAGGGAAAAAAAAAAAAAAACCCUCUGGAAACCCAGAACAGAUGGAGCCUCAUGAAGAACACUGCGGAAGAGGAACUUAACAAAGUACUUAGGAGAAAGCAAAACACUCAGAAAGACCUGUCUUUAAAAAACUCAGUCGACGGGAGACAAAGUAUCUGAUGGAGUAAAUAUUUGCCUUUCUUUGAAGAAACUGGGUAUGAUAAAAACAAUCACAUUAAAUUGUUCUCCAGGCUGCUCUGUCAGGCAUGGAUCCUAAGGAUUUCCAGUCUGAUUUGGGCAACUCGGAUAAGGCUUAGAGAACGGAUAAAAAUGUUACUCAUUACCAUGUAUUCUCUUUCUCCUAGCCAUGAAACCGUUCUUUAGGUAUCAGAAAAGUUAAAUUUAGAAGUCUAAACGCCGGGUGGGGAUGCAAAGAACUGAGCUGAUCCCACGUUCAGAAGCCAUGCUGUUCUCAGACUGGCAUAAGAAAGCCACUCCACCCUGAUAUCCCGACAGGUGUAGCGUGGGAGCUGGCCUCUGCUGGGGCAGAGGGCUCUGAGCACUGGGAUUGCUCCUCGGGUCCCUGUGACUCUCAGGCUGCACACCUGCUACCAGAUGAGCUGUGACCUCGAGCACGUGACGCUGAAGCCAGUGAAAUGGCCAGAAACAAACAAACAAACAAACAAACAAACAAACAAACAAACCACCGGAAGGGAGAGUCUCGAGUCUCCGACUCAGCAGGGGUCUUUGCCAAGUAGAGUUUGUUUGUUGCAGCUUUUAUUUUUAUGUCUUAAGUGACAAACCCUUCUUGAGUUUCCAAAGAAAAGAGAGAAAUAAGCUCCCAUUUUUUUUUAUAUCAAUGAAGGUGUCAGGCUGCAAGGGACCCAAACACCUUCUCAAGAAUAAAACAGAGAGGAAACAUAGCAAGCUAGCCCACAGAAAGAAGUCCUGCAAAACACAGUGAGAGCAGAACCUCCCUUGGAGGGAAGCUGGGGGUGUGUGUCCUUGUCUGAAGAUGGGAGGGGAGUAAAAAGGAAGGAAGGUUAAUGUCUUGAUGAAGCCAAAUGAACACGUGAAGCGAGUCAGUCUAAUGAGACUGUCCUGUGGCCUCAGGAGGGUGACUAAGAGUGCCCGUCUUUUGGUGCCUCAGGCUAUUUACAGGCUUAAAGAAGCUGGCUGAAGUCUCAGGAUGCUCUCAGAAUCACUUUCUUAUGCCUCUUCAUUUGUGAUUUUCAUUAUGAUUCUCUUUAGAAUCAUCAGAGAGAUGCCUCUGGCUCGCAGACGGGGGUAGGGGAUUAAAAAGCCUGAGUGUGGUGUUGUAAUGAGUCCAGAGAGUUUGGAAACCGUCCUGCCUGUGACUCUGAAUGCUUGGAAUUGCGGGGUGAUUGCAGAGAUGAUUAUCUGAAGGCGGUGGUCAGGCCCAGUUGCAAAUGACUGCCUGAGAGAAAAUGAGGCUUGUGGGGGACCCCUGCAAGCUUCAGAAACCAGCCUGGUUUAAUUACGUCAGUCACUAACGGAGUGCAGGUGACUUACGGGUUUUGAUCAUUUGGCAGACUUGCCUCCUUCAGGGAUAGCCUGUGAUUCAAGACACCAGGUCUGUUCGUGGCAUGGAUCAGAUGUUCAGGACCUCAAAGGGACUGCAACUGGCCCCUGGCCCUCAGGUCAGUGACCUCCUAAGGGAAUUAUUUCUUGUUGUCUAAAGAGGCACUCGGAAGGAAAUGGCUUCUCUUUUCUGCCAUUGGAAAACUAGAUUAUUUACUUAUCCGCCUACCUGCCUUUGUUAUGUUAAACAAGUAUUUUCUUAGUAGCUGUGUGCCAGGCACUGUGACAGAUAAACUCUGGAUGAAGCUGUCAAAUAGUACCCUCGUGGAGUUUACAUUCUAAUAUGAGUCCAAUAUAAGAACGUGAAUAUAGAUGAAUGUCUAAGAUCGUCAAAUGAACUCUGGAGAAAAUACAUGAGGUGACGUGGAAGUGAAUAAAAGGUGGAUAAAAUAAGUAAAAGUCACCUUAGUGGGUGCUCAGGUCUCACAGAGCCACAUCCAGAAAAGAGGAAAGCAGGGUUGGGGAAGGAGGGCGAGUAACAGUAAAAAAUACAGCGGUAAAGGGCAAAGCCGUGGAGCAGAGAUUGAGGCACGCUCUGACAUGAGCCCAGGGAAAACUGAUGCUGGGUGAGGGCAGAGGAACAAGAAAGUGACCUUUCAUCCUGAGAGCACCAGGACAUUACUGGGGCCUUUUAAAGAUGAGAGUAGUUCUGGCUGCAAAUGGCUGCCUGAGAGAAAAUGACGAGCCUCAUUUUCACCAGCUCACUUUUGACUGCUGUAUGGAAAAUGUGUUAGAAGGAGAUAAAUACGGAAGCAAUGAGACCAAUGUCGAGGCCGGAGGGAGCUGCUGUAAACUGCACGUGGAUUCCCUUCAACUUCACAGGACUGAGAGAGAUCACCGAGGAAGGGCAAGAGGUGGAGCAAGAGGCUGGCUCAAGACCUUCUCUGAGAACGUUUGGUAUUUGGAGAAAAAGCAGAGAUAGAAUGGAAGGGGAGGGGAGGAGACGAAAGACUCCAUUGAAAGAUUGCCCUUGCUCUUCCGACUGAGCUAUUUGUUUCGUUGUCGCCGGCAGCACAUGGCUGUAGACAGACACAGCCGAGCAAUCACAGUCGUAGCUCAGCUCUGCCGCGGCUGACAGAAACGAUGUGCGCCCAAGACGCCCAGACAGUGACAAAGCGGGCUAUCCCAUAAAGCAGGUUUCUUCAUUGCUUCACAGGGGGAAAGGGGCUCGGGGAGGGCGCCACGCCUUUCCGGGCUCAACCUGACCGGCUGGCAACACGGAGAGUCUUUUCAUACAAACACUUGGCUAUGAGAGCCAGACCCUGCCUUUUCAAACCAAGUACCCUGUCUAAUAAAAACGCAAUGCUUAGCAACAGAAA